AUUGAACGCUGGCGGCAUGCCUUACACAUGCAAGUCGAACGGCAGCACGGGGCAACCUGGUGGCGAGUGGCGAACGGGUGAGUAAUGCAUCGGAACGUGCCAUUGAGUGGGGGAUAACGUAGCGAAAGUUGCGCUAAUACCGCAUAUUCUGUGAGCAGGAAAGCAGGGGACCGCAAGGCCUUGCGCUCUUUGAGCGGCCGAUGUCAGAUUAGCUAGUUGGUGAGGUAACGGCUUACCAAGGCGACGAUCUGUAGCGGGUCUGAGAGGAUGAUCCGCCACACUGGAACUGAGACACGGUCCAGACUCCUACGGGAGGCAGCAGUGGGGAAUUUUGGACAAUGGGCGCAAGCCUGAUCCAGCCAUGCCGCGCGAGUGAAGAAGGCCUUCGGUUGGUAAAGACUCUUUCUAGCAGGAACGAAACGGUAGGCCGACUAA
rnacentral:rRNA from 1 species